GGACCAAGGAGUCCAGCGAACGAGCGUGACGCAAAGGUUCUUUUUGUAGAAUCCGUCAAACUUAACGAAAGCAAUCGAAGCGUACUCGCGGGUACGCUUCUAGUUUGUAUGAUGAGACGUGCGCGCGUUAUACGCGUCGUCUAAGCAAAUCGGAGAUGGCAAUUACGCGUCAGCAAUGGCGCUGCCGUACUCGUAGCUCGUGCUCUGGAACCCGAAAGAUGGUGAACUAUGCAUGGAAAGGAUGAAGCCAGGGGAAACUCUGGUGGAGGUCCGCAAUGGUUCUGACGUGCAAAUCGAUCAUCAGAACUAUGUAUAGGGGCGAAAGACCAAUCGAACCAUCUAGUAGCUGGUUCCUUUCGAAGUUUCCCUAAGGAUAGCUGAGGUCUGGUGGCGAUAGUCACAUGCGGUAAAGCGAAUGAUUAGAGUCGUUGGGUUCGAAACGUUCUCAACCUAUUCUCAAACUGUUAAUGUGUGUGUUUUCCAUUAGCUAGCAUGCGAUGUAGCAAAUGGAUAGAUAGUGAAGGCCUUCAGUGGGCCAUUUUUGGUAAGCAGAACUGGCGAUGCGGGAUGAACCGGUCGUAAAGUUAUAGUGCCAAAAGCAACGCAUAUCGGACCCCACAAAAGGCGUUAGUAACUAAAGACAGCAGGACGGUGGCCAUGGAAGUCGGC
rnacentral:rRNA from 1 species